rnacentral:rRNA from 1 species
UGGGGAAUAUUGCACAAUGGGCGCAAGCCUGAUGCAGCCAUGCCGCGUGUGUGAAGAAGGCCUUCGGGUUGUAAGCACUUUCAGUCGUGAGGAAGGUGGUGUUGUUAAUAGCAGCAUCAUUUGACGUUAGCGACAGAAGAAGCACCGGCUAACUCCGUGCCAGCAGCCGCGGUAAU